GACAGAGGGUGCGAACGUUGGUCGGAAUUACUGGGCGUAAAGCGCUUGUAGGCGGCAGCGCAAGGCGGGCGUGAAAUCCCACGGCUCAACCGUGGAAGUGCACUCGAAACUGCGCAGCUAGAGUCCUGGAGAGGAAGGUGGAAUGCUUGGUGUAGAGGUGAAAUUCGUAGAUAUCAAGCGGAACACCGGUGGCGAAGGCGGCCUUCUGGACAGUGACUGACGCUGAGAUGCGAAAGCGUGGGGAGCAAACAGG
rnacentral:rRNA from 1 species